rnacentral:piRNA from 1 species
UGUCUUCAGUUUUUGUGCCAUUAUGGUCGA